UCGCCAUAGUAACACACUGACCCUGGCCUUAAAGUUGCACUCCUGAUCCCGAUCUCCCGCCGAGCCCUGAGUAGUGGGGUGGAGUAAACCUGCCUAUUUAUAGCAGGCCCUUUGGCUCAUUUUUUACUAGAGGCAGUGAUGGCUAAUCUGCUUUUUCUAAAGCUCCACCACAUCCAACUUACAUCACCCUACAUCUAUAGGCCUAAAGUGAGAACAGACGAUGAGUGGGCGCAGCAACUUACAACUACUGCUCGUGGACAGAGACCAGACUCCAACCAACGUGACUCGGGAGUCAUAGAGUAAAUGUGUGCUUCCAGCCAGACUGACGUGCUGUAACCGAGCCAGUUACAGUGAGCAGUGUGUAACUUUGAAAGCCACCGCGGCCCCGGCUGUGGGCCUGGACCUCGGCACCUCCGCCUCAGCUGCACUGAUGCUGAGCUUACACUGUGUCGGCACCGAGUCGGGUCCAGGAAAGGUCUCACAGCACCCUCGACACAAAGACAGGGAGCAGAGGGGAGCUGCUUUAGAUAAAGAGGCUCAUACUGAUACUGCUGCUUGUUUCCACAUAGACAUAAUCCACAGGCCUUUUACACGGCUCCCUCAAGUCUCUCUCAGGGUGACUGAUCCACAGCCUCUUACACUCCUCUCCUCGCCGUUCCUUUUUAGAUAGUUUUGUACACUCUGUCCACACAUUAUGAUCCAUUAUGACUGAGAAUUUUCCAUCUGCAGUAUGGUCUCUUCAUACUAUUACCACUCUUUUCUCCAGUUCCCCUUUCUGUUGUAAGCAGUGCACGAACCACAUGCAUUUAAAAAUAGUCUAUUUCUAUUUCUAUUUUAGAUGAGCAUGUGACGCUAGGUUCAAGGUUUUGAGGUGGCAGACAUUUCAUUUCCUAAAACUUGACCGACCUGGACAUGUUUAUAUGAAGUGCUGUACAAACAGAUGACAGUAGUUUAUUCAUCCUUAAAAUAGUUUUAGCUGAAAUAAAGGGCUAUUAUGACAUCUCCAGCCACACUACGCUGACGCUCAGGUGUCACACUGUCCCACAUGGUAUUUUCUCAUAUCCGCUUGUUCAUGUGAGCCUUGUGAGCAGGCCGCUAACUGUCUUAACUCUUCUCUAACCUCUAACGGGCUAAUUGGCUUGUGCUGUUUCCUUUGUGGCACACUGCGUCACACAGUACUUGACCUCAGCCCAGACAUAAGUAUAUUAACGUGGUUAAGUAUAAAUAGCUCUACGUAGUUAAAAUAAACCCCGAUGCAUGUGGAAGUGAAUAUUUCGGGCACCUGUGAUCUUGUUAUUGGUGUUAAAUUUAGCCCUGUGGUCCUCGGUGAGGAGUGGAAACAGUGACAGGGACCUGUUUUGCCACAACACAUUUCCUGUGCAUUGUGAGUAGUGAGAAAACCACAACCCAGUGACGCAACAUUCGGAAAAAAAAAAGAGAGCAUGAGAAGGCGUGGAAAGUCAGCAAUGAGGAAGUGGCUUCAUUUGAAAAAGGAAAAUUGUCAACUGAACUGUGGAGACGCGGCAUCAAACUGCGUUUUAAUCUAAAAGCAGAGAUGAAACGCCCCCUGUGUGCUCUCCAUCAGGUAACGCUCCUGCCCCACGAGCAGAGGAUCAACUUCCGCGCUGUUUACUGCAGCAGUGCCUCCUGUUAAGUCAAACGCACCGGACCAGACGUAUUGACUGAUGUUCCAGGCGUAAUGAAAACAUCCAGUCUGAAUUGGAUCUGACUGGACAUCAGCCAUUGUUGAACUACAGGACAAGUGAGCCGGCAGCCGGCUUGUGUCUCUCCCCGUCUCACACACUUCAAGACGACAGGUCUGACUUCAUUAAAUGCGGGUCAUUUUACUAUCACUAUGACCCUAAAACUGCUGUAAGAAACAUCACUGUAAUAAAUGUAGCAUUAACCUUCAAA